rnacentral:piRNA from 1 species
UCUGGUGUAAUUCUAAUAGUCCUGCCUUUA